AGCGACGGUGACGGGGCCGGUGACAAGGGUUCUCGACGGCGACGGUGGUACCUCAGAGUUCCGGCAGCCGUGACUCCGUCGGUAAGAACAUCUGUUCUUUCUUUUCUCUUUGAUUUCUGAACGGUAAACAAGUUCCACACUCGAAAUUCUUUUUUUUCCGGUGAUUAUUGAUGAUUAUGGUAACUGAUGUUGAUAAUAAUGAUGAUGGUGUCGACUUCCGGUGAGUCCCGCUAAUGUUGACGAUGAUGAAGAUGUGUCUGCUAUUGACAUGAUGAUGUUGAUGAUGAGGAAGACAGUGGUGGUUUUCAGGUCUUGGCUCGAUUGCUGAACUCCGGUCCGGCCCUCAAGGAAACAAGCUCAGUGCAGUUUUGGUUCAAAGCUUCGGGUUUCGGUUCGGUCAACAACAAUCAACUGGUGGUUUGGUUCAGAUUACGGUUCGGAUCAGUUUCGGGUGAUUCGGGUUCGUGACACGGUGAAAGUCAGUCAACGAAAGCCAACUGGUCAACCCCAGUCAACUUUUGGGUCAAACUUAGUCGACGAAAGACCCGACUAUUGAUACGUAGAAGAAUGCUUCUUCUGGAAUGGGUGUUGCUGAUCAUUGUAAAGGCACCUUCUUGGAACUACAAAGAAAGAAGGCACACCGUUACGUGAUUUUCGAAAUUGACAAAAAGAAAACUCAAGUUGUUGUGGAGAAGACUGGCAAUCCUGCUGAAACUUACGAUGAUUUUACAUCGGCUUUGCCCGAAAAUGAUUGCAGGUACGCAAUCUUUGACUUUGUAACCUCUGAGAACUGUCAAAAGAGCAAGAUUUUCUUCAUCGCAUGGUUAGUUUUCUCUUUUUCCUAUAUGAUCCAUUUGCAUACCUUAAGAAAAAAAUUCUAUGUAGUUAAUGCCGCAGAUAUAUAGGUUAUCGGUCCCCUGGUUAGA